rnacentral:miRNA from 1 species
UUAUGAAGUUUUGAAAAUCGCCAGUGUAGUAUUCGAGAAACUGAAUUUCAGCUUUCCAAAGGCUAAAAUGCAAUUUAAAAGGCUGAAAUUCAGUUUCUCGAAAACUGCACUGGCGAUUUUCAAAUAACUU